AACUGAUCAGGAGAGUUCCUCAGUAGACCCACUGGAAAAGAGUGAGGUGAAUGAAAGUGGCUUUGAUGAAGACAUGAUGGAGGUGGAGAGUCCAGUAGCUCUAACUGAUGACACCCAUCAGAAGAAUCUGCUUAUCCAUGUGACCCCACCUUUGGUUUGCAGCUUAGAAGAGUGCAUUUCCGAUGGGUUCCACAAAGGAUCUAAAGCACAAAUAAAUGAGAGGCAAGAAGCUGUUAGCACCCAAAAAAGUACCGUUAUAGGGGGAUAUGAGCAGAGAUCUCUGCACAAUUACUCUAUGAGUGAAGACAUUGUACAAAACCAUCAAGCAGCAACAGAACCAACUUCUGUGUCUCCAACAAAACUCCUUGAGGACCAGAGACAACAUGUAGAUGUGGAGGAACACAAACAGCUCUCCCACACACGAGCAAGACGUACCUCCUCACAGUCAGCUAAGGCCUGUAGCCAAACAGAAAAACUUCUGAAUAGAACAGGUACAGAACUUUAUCAGACACACAAGUGGCAAACUAACCCUGACUUGUGACAUGAAUUCCUCUAGACUUCUGUCUGAAUAUCUCUAUUUGUGCAAACUGUGAAGACAGUGCUGUUAUUAUUCUGUAUUUUGCUUUUAUAGCCUCAGCAAAGGUCAAGGAGCACCUGAAGCCUGGAGACAGUAUUCCCAAAGAUUCUGAAGAAACCUCAGACCACUGGGCAAAGAAACGCAGGCUGUUCAAGGAGAGCAGACAGUGGGGUUCUACAGAAGAGAGUUCCAUGACUAGCAACAUCACUGACGAAUCAGACACCAUGAAUUCUGAGGACACCCGCUCAGUUGACAUGACACUCCGAGACAUUGAAGAGAGAGGUUUUUAUACUGAGACGUUCCACUCAGCAUCAUGGAUUUAUCGGGGAGAUGACUCCAAUCCAAAUGAAACGAUACAAUGCCUUAGUAACCGCCCUCGACCUAUAGCAGUUCGUGAACGAACUGUGAAAAUCAGCAAAGGAAUGGGAGAAUAUCCGUGGGGGUUCAGAAUUCAGUAUUCCAAACCAAUUAUUGUGACAGAAGUUGACACAA